UACGGAGGGUGCAAGCGUUGUCCGGAUUUAUUGGGUUUAAAGGGUGCGUAGGUGGCCGUUUAAGUCAGCUUUGAAAGCUGGUCGCUCAACGAUCAGGGGUGGGUUGAUACUGGACGGCUUGGAUCAGGUGGCGGUUUCUGGAACGGGUCGUGUAGCGGUGAAAUGCAUGGAUAUGACCCAGAACUCCGAUUGCGAAGGCAGGAGGCUACGCCUGGAUUGACACUGAGGCACGAGAGCAUGGGGAGCAAACAGG
rnacentral:rRNA from 1 species